rnacentral:rRNA from 1 species
AUUGAACGCUGGCGGCAGGCUUAACACAUGCAAGUCGAGCGGGGUGAUGGUGCUUGCACUAUCACUUAGCGGCGGACGGGUGAGUAAUGCUUAGGAAUCUGCCUAUUAGAGGGGGACAACAUCUCGAAAGGGAUGCUAAUACCGCAUACGUCCUACGGGAGAAAGCAGGGGAUCACUUGUGACCUUGCGCUAAUAGAUGAGCCUAAGUCGGAUUAGCUAGUUGGUGGGGUAAAGGCCUACCAAGGCGACGAUCUGUAGCGGGUCUGAGAGGAUGAUCCGCCACACUGGGACUGAGACACGGCCCAGACUCCUACGGGAGGCAGCAGUGGGGAAUAUUGGACAAUGGGGGGAACCCUGAUCCAGCCAUGCCGCGUGUGUGAAGAAGGCCUUAUGGUUGUAAAGCACUUUAAGCGAGGAGGAGGCUCUUUUGGUUAAUACCCAAGAUGAGUGGACGUUACUCGCAGAAUAAGCACCGGCUAACUCUGUGCCAGCCGCCGCCGGAC